CCAGAGGGCCGGGCGGCCGCGUCGGGGAAACUCGCCGAGGAAAGUCCGGGCUCCACGGAACAACGGUGCCGGGUAACGCCCGGCGGCUCCUGCGCAGGCAGGAGUUAGGGAUAGUGCCACAGAAAGCAGUCUGCCUGUCUUCGGGCGGGUCACGGCGAAAGGGUGCGGCAAGAGCGCACCGCGCGCGCCGGCAACGGCCGCGGCACGGUAAACCCCACCGGGUGCAAGACCGAAUAGGGGCGGCAGAUGAGCUACGUUCCGGCUCGCCGCCCGGGUUGGUCGCUGGAGGGGCGGAGCAAUCCGUCCCCUAGAGGAAUGGUCGCCCAUUCGCCGCGGCAACGCGGCGAUGGACAGAACCCGGCUUACAGGCCCUCUGGCAGC
rnacentral:RNase_P_RNA from 1 species